UACAGAGGUGGCAAGCGUUGUUCGGAAUUACUGGGCGUAAAGAGCGCGCAGGCGGUCGUUCAAGUCGAGUGUGAAAGCCCUCGGCUCAACUGGGGAGGGUCAUUCGAUACUGAUCGACUGGAAGGCAGGAGAGGGAAGCGGAAUUCCCGGUGUAGUGGUGAAAUGCGUAGAUAUCGGGAGGAACACCAGUGGCGAAGGCGGCGACCUGGACAGAUAUUGACGCUGAGGUGCGAAAGCGUGGGGAGCAAACAGG
rnacentral:rRNA from 1 species